rnacentral:rRNA from 1 species
CACUGACAUUAGAUACCCGCGUAGUCCAGGGUGUAAACGCUGCAGACUUGGUGUUGGAAGUCCUUUGGGGCAUUCAGUGCCGGAGAGAAGUUGUUAAGUCUGCUACUUGGGAGUACGUCCGCAAGGAUGAACUUAAGGAAUUGGCGGGGAGCACCGCAACGGAGAGCGUGCGGUUUAAUUGGAUUCAACACCGUAAACUCACCUGGAAGACUGUUACAUGAAGGCCGAGAUGAAGACUCUGCUAGAUUUUCAG